rnacentral:lncRNA from 1 species
GUGAGACAUGGCUUUUACCUUCUGCGAUGAUUGUGAGGCCCCCUCAGCCAUGUGGAACUGUUCACACAUGUUGGCUACGUAAUUUGUUGAUUGAAUGUGACUGUCCCCCCAGCACCCAAAAAUCUCUUCUUGACUGACUCCAAGAUGAAGAGAACAUCAUUGAGUUCUAUAGGCAUCCAUUUUCAAAAUUUGAUAUUUCUCACUGACCUUUCCUGGACAGGAUGUGUCUUUCUUUUCCUAAGCUGCAACCCCAGGCAAAUCUUGUUUGUACAUUCUCUGAAUGGCAGUCCAACCCAAAGUGGGGUUGUGGUUUUCAACUUAGUUGUGGUGAACAUUUACAUAGUUCUUGCAUCCAUAUCAUCUGGCUCUACUAGAAAAAAAAAUUACUAGAAGACAGUAUGGGUGACUAGAAUAGAAAAAAUGACUACUUAAAAUUAUAGGUACUGGCAUAGCACACAUAAAUUCUGUGGCUGUAGAGGAAAGACAAAAACCCAAAACCUAAAAGUGAACAAAUUAGACCCAGGAACUACAGAAAAGGAGGGAAGUUAAUAUCUUUCUGUCUUUCUGAAUUAUCCCUAGUGUGGCCCAGAGAAGAGUUGGGGAGUCCUGUUGGGCCAGAAUGAGUAGUAGUAUUAGUUAGACCAAAUGGUAGAACAGGAUGGGUGGGUUCAGUUUCUCUAAGGAAUUUCAUCCUUUUGUGAUGUAGACAUGGAAUCCCAGUGAGCAUCCUGCACUCUCAGUGUCCAACUGUCUGAAACCACAGUUGUUUCUGAAGACUGAGAACAAUUGCUUUUUGCUGAGGAGACAGCACUCCACAGCUGAGGCAUUCACAAAAAAUAGCUCGCAUUAUGUUUUGCUUCUUUGCAAAUCAACAAGAUGAUGUCACUGGGGAGGUCUAACUGAUUCUGUCUGCUCAGGAAUGUUUCCAAGGCUUGGUCUCCUUUUUAAUUUACUUUAUAAAUCAUUUUGUAAUUUUUAUCUCCCACACAUUCUGUAUCUUGUUAAUUACUUUUAUACAUAUGUAAAUAUAUUUUAUGUAUGAUUUCUAAGUAUAUCACUCAUGAAAAUUGACUGUGACACAGGCAUACCUUAUCUUAUAGCACCUUAUUGUGCUUCACAGAUGUUGGAUUUCUUACAAAUUGAAGGGUUUUGGCAACCCUAUAUUGAAUGACUCUAUUAAUACUAUUUUUCCAACAUCAUGUCAUCUUUGUGUGUGUGUAUA